rnacentral:tRNA from 1 species
GGUCCCGUAGCUCAGUUGGUUAGAGUGUUGGUCUUAUGAGUCGAAGGUUGUGGGUUCGAGCCCCGUUGAGACCA